rnacentral:rRNA from 1 species
GGGGAAUCUUGCGCAAUGGACGUAAGUCUGACGCAGCCAUGCCGCGUGAAUGAUGAAGGUCUUAGGAUUGUAAAGUUCUUUAGCCUGUGACGAUGAUGACGGUAACAGGAGAAUAAGCCCCGGCUAACUUCGUGCCAGCAGCCGCGGUAAUACGAAGGGGGCUAGCGUUGUUCGGAAUUACUGGGCGUAAAGCGCGCGUAGGCGGUUUUACAAGCCAGAGGUGAAAUGCCUGAGCUCAACUUAGGAAUUGCCUUUGGAACUGUAUGGCUUUGAGGACGAGAGAGGUGAGUGGAAUUCCCAGUGUAGAGGUGAAAUUCGUAGAUAUUGGGAAGCACACCGGUGGCGAAGGCGGCUCACUGGCUCGUUUCUGACGCUGUAGCGCGAAAGCGUGGGGAUCAAAC